ensembl:lncRNA
GUUUGUAGAAAAGGGAAACACAGGCAAGGCUGGCAGCCUAGGUAAUGCUGGUCCCAGUGCAGUCUGGUGGAUGGAUGUCUGGGGCAGGCUCUGUGAGGCCCUGGAAGAGCCAUCAUAGCUGGAGGGGACAACUCAGUUUCCGGGAUGAGAGGAGAGCUCCUUCCAGAGGGAAAGCAUGGUUUCUGUCAUGGAGUCACUGCUCCUGCACCCAUCACGGGGCAUCUGCGAGGCCCUGCUUUCCUGGAACCCGAGGUUGACUUCUCUCUUGGGUCCUGUGCACAGUGCUGAAAUGAACGUGGGCAUGCAGACACCUCUAGGAGGCGCUACUUCAUGCUCCUUGGGUACACAGCCAACAGGACUGCUAGAGCACAGCACAAGCCCUUCACCCCCAGGACCCUGUCCCUGUGAAUGCCUCUCCAAGUUUCCUCUUUCCUGACUCUUGCUAUGAGGUGAGAAUUCUAAUUCUUCUAUUUUGUACCUAAGGAAACAGAGGCUCUGGGCAGUUAGUUACGCAAAGUGCCCAAAGCUACCGUUAUUAAGUGGGUUUGCCAGGGUCACCCCAGCCUGUGCAGCUCCCAAGCUCAGCCCCGGGAAGGGGCGACAACUUGCUGCACUCACAGAGGCCUGGCUGGGAGCUGGAUGGGGAGGGAGCCUAGCCGGGGAGAUGGGAUGACCCCCGUCAAGAGGCUCCCCGCCUGCCCAUUGUUUCAUGGUGGUCCUGCCUGGAGCUGCCAGCCUGUUUCUUAUUCUUUUCUGCAUCCCAGCACAGGGCAUGGGAUCUGGCCUGGAACAGCCCAUGGGUUUGUAGGUUGCAUCAUUGGGUCUGAGGGGCAGAAGAGGAAAAGCUAUAGCUCCCUGUCCAUGGCAGUCACCUGCAGAGACGCUCUGCAGGGAUGCGGAAGGACAGCACAUCUGCCUUGGGUCCUGCAUCCUCUCCCCCGGAGGCAACCCUGCCCCACACUGACCUCUGAUGGCCCAGGAGCCCACGAGGACAACAUCAAAGAGAGGACGCACAUGCUCAAGAUUUCCUUGCUGUUUUUGGAUGACAAGUGUACUACUGGUUCCCCCAGGGAAACUGAGGCAGGAAGAGCAUCACACCAGGCUCUGUGUUGUACUCCAGGCAGGAAGGAGCUGAGCAGCUCUGGCUUGAGGAGCUGGUGCGAAGCAGGACGUGUAGAAGACUGGGUGUGCUCAGGAGUUGGGGGACCCAGGCAGCACCCGGAAAGACACCCAGCCCCCCACCUGUGCACUGGCAUGGUGGGAUCAGCUUCCAUGGCGUCACCCGCAGUGACUUCAGUGCCAACCUUCAGGCCCAAAUGCCUUCCUGUGUGCACCGAAGCACAAUUUACAAAUCUAUCCUCAAGACUCAAGGAGAAAGAAACUUCAUUAUUUUUAAGAAUGAGGAACUAAAGGCAAUUAAAAACGGGGGUGGGAGAGCUCGUCAAAUGUCAUUAGACUUCAUCAGAAGCAUUUCUCACCCUGACAAAAGAGAAAUAACAAAGAAUGUGCUCUCGUUAUUUUUCCAGAGGGAUGGUCUAUGUGCCGGUAGAGAAGGAAGUCAUAAAAGAUACCAGGGAAAUGCAGUAACUGGAUAUUUCAGGGCAUGGGAGUCGUAUUCUUUGGGGGCAGGGAAAACCGCAGCGGAACACUUUAGACGCCCUCCUUAAUUUUGAAAGAAAAGGAAAAUUAUUCGCGAUUUCAAUGGCAGCCCCAUCAUGGGCCUCCACCACUGCCUAGGCCAGGAAAUUAGUUGCCAUGGCAACUUCAGGUUGUAUCAUUAAGAAUUUUUAAAAUGUUGAGAGUCAGGAGGCAGGGCUUAAACACAGAAGGGAGAGGGAGAAGGAGGGAAGUGGAGUGGAGAAGGAAAGAAGUAAUCCAGGGCAAGUGGAGACUGCGGCCAAAAGAAGAAAUGUUUGCCCCACAAGUGUGUUUUCAUCUCUCCCCAGGUAACGGAAGGGAAGGGGAUCCCACCCUCACUCGGUUCUGCUUUGUUUCCUGUCCGAAUGUGAGCAGCUUUUCUCUUGUCCAUUAAAGAAGAAAACUUAGAAAGAUGAAGUAGACCCCAAGGAGCCGCCUUCAUUUGUUUUGUUUUGUCUUGUUUGCUCCAAGAUCAGCUUGGGCCUGGCGAGCCAUGCAGGAGUUGGAGAGGAGAGAGGAAGAAGAAUGAGGAAACCAGAAAAGAUGGAGAAGACACAGCUGCCUCUUACCUGUGGCUCAGGUGCAAUGCAAGUCACUUCCACUCCCACUGUGUCACUGGAGGUGGCCAAUGACACCUCUCCCUCCACUGAUGCCCAGAAGCCAGGAGCCCCAGGCCGGGCAGCUGUCCCAGACCUGAAGAAACACAGAAGCAUGGAGUCUGGUGAGUAGCUGGCCAUUUCUAUGACUGCUGGUCACAAGGAAACACAGCCCUGAGCCAGUCACCCACGCUCCAGGCCAGGGACUCAACUAGAGCAAAUGUGCUUUCCAAGUCACAUCCCCUGGGGUGCAUUUCGGCCCUGUCUUAGUUCAGAAAUGCUUGAUGGCUUCUGAAGCACAGAAACUGCCUUCUCAAGGUUCUGGAGGCCAGGAAGGCCAAGGCCAAGGUGCUGGCAGACCCAGUGCCUCCCAAGGGUCC